rnacentral:rRNA from 1 species
CUUAGUGGCGGACGGGUGAGUAACGCGUGGGUAACCUGCCUCACACUGGGGGAUAACAGUUAGAAAUAGCUGCUAAUACCGCAUAAGCGCACAGUUCCGCAUGGAACAGUGUGAAAAACUCCGGUGGUGUGAGAUGGACCCGCGUCUGAUUAGCCAGUUGGCGGGGUAACGGCCCACCAAAGUGACGAUCAGUAGCCGGCCUGAGAGGGUGAACGGCCACAUUGGGACUGAGACACGGCCCAAACUCCUACGGGAGGCAGCAUG